GUUAGCAGCCAUAUCACCCUGCAACUCACAACUGGCAACCCACUGAAGCUAAGCAGGUGUGAGCCUGGUAAGUACCUGGAUGGGAGACCUCCUGGGAAAAACUAAGGUUGCUGCUGGAA
ensembl:rRNA 5S_rRNA 5S ribosomal RNA